rnacentral:rRNA from 1 species
ACUCCUCAUCGCAUGGUGGGGGGUGGAAAGCUUUUGUGGUUUUGGAUGGACUCGCGGCCUAUCAGCUUGUUGGUGGGGUAAUGGCCUACCAAGGCGACGACGGGUAGCCGGCCUGAGAGGGUGACCGGCCACACUGGGACUGAGACACGGCCCAGACUCCUACGGGAGGCAGCAGUGGGGAAUAUUGCACAAUGGGCGCAAGCCUGAUGCAGCGACGCCGCGUGAGGGAUGACGGCCUUCGGGUUGUAAACCUCUUUCAGUAGGGAAGAAGCCGCAAGGUGACGGUACCUGCAGAAGAAGCGCCGGCUAACUACGUGCCAGCAGCCGCGGUAAUACGUAGGGCGCAAGCGUUAUCCGGAAUUAUUGGGCGUAAAGAGCUCGUAGGCGGUUUGUCGCGUCUGCUGUGAAAGACCGGGGCUCAACUCCGGUUCUGCAGUGGGUACGGGCAGACUAGAGUGCAGUAGGGGAGAC